rnacentral:rRNA from 1 species
CGGGUGGCGAACGGGUGAGUAAUGUAUCGGAACGUGCCCAGUAGCGGGGGAUAACUACGCGAAAGCGUAGCUAAUACCGCAUACGCCCUACGGGGAAAGGGGGGAUCGCAAGACCUCUCACUAUUGGAGCGGCCGAUAUCGGAUUAGCUAGUUGGUGAGAUAACGGCUCACCAAGGCGACGAUCCGUAGCUGGUUUGAGAGGACGACCAGCCACACUGGGACUGAGACACGGCCCAG